rnacentral:rRNA from 1 species
UAGGGAAUCUUGCACAAUGGGCGAGAGCCUGAUGCAGCGACGCCGCGUGAAGGAUGAAGGCCUUCGGGUUGUAAACUUCUGUUCUAAGGGAAGAAACAAAUGACGGUACCUUAGGAGCAAGCCCCGGCUAACUACGUGCCAGCAGCCGCGGUAAUACGUAGGGGGCAAGCGUUAUCCGGAAUUAUUGGGCGUAAAGAGUGCGUAGGUGGUUACCUAAGCGCAAGGUUUAAUUUAGAGGCUCAACCUCUACUUGCCUUGCGAACUGGGCUACUUGAGUGCAGGAGGGGAAAGCGGAAUUCCUAGUGUAGCGGUGAAAUGCGUAGAUAUUAGGAGGAACACCAGCGGCGAAGGCGGCUUUCUGGACUGUAACUGACACUGAGGCACGAAAGCGUGGGUAGCAAACAGGAUUAGAUACCCUGGUAGUCCACGCCGUAAACGAUGGGCACUAGGUGUUGGGCCCGUUAGGGCUCAGUGCCGCAGUUAACGCAAUAAGUGCUCCGCCUGGGGAGUACGCUCGCAAGAGUA